rnacentral:lncRNA from 1 species
UUGAACAUAUCUAGUACGCCGUAAAUCAAUUUUAAAAUAUAUAUAAAAAGAAUAGGAUCAGCUUGCUCAUGUUCGGUUCGUUAACAGCUCUAAUACAUUUAUUUUAUAUUUAUAUAUACAAAUAAAUAAUUAUAUGUUAUUAUUUAAUUUUUAGUCUAAUUUAAAUAUAAAGUCUAAUUCACUUAUAAAGUCUUAUAUAUAUAAAGUUUCAAUUGUUAGAUUAAAAUUUAAUAGUUAAGAUCUCAUAAAUUUAUUUUCUAUAAAUAUUCUUUCUAAUCUUUUUAAUUUGUUAUUCGUAAGUUAGCUCGUGUUCGGUUCGUUAUAAACGAGCCAAACAAGUGUUGAAUUUUUCGGUUCGAUAUUUUAAUGAGCCGGCCCGUGUUUAGCUUGUUACAGAAGCCGGCGUCAACUCGCUCGCUUUU